GCGAGCCGUAUACGCUGAAAGGUGUAUGUACGGUUCUGAGGGGGAAGUUGUGAAAACUGCUUUGGAAACAAAGCAAGGCGUAUGGCUUCUACCCUAC
rnacentral:ncRNA from 1 species